GGCCGACUAGCUCAGUUGGUUAGAGCGUCGUGCUAAUAUAUCUCAUAUUAACGCGAAGGUCUUGGGUUCGAUCCCCACGUUGGCCA